GUCUGUGUCGGUCGUUGGGCCCUCAUAUUUACCUCCUGUGUCUGCCUAUCCCAGGGUUCAUCAGUCCGUUUUCUGCGCGUGCCUAUCUGCCUUUCUGCUUUUUUCUCUACGUGACUGUUUUUCUGUGUCUGCUUCCUUAUGCCGACCAGACUUAGGGUGCGUUUUUUACCUAUCAUUCUGGAAUGGGAAUUGUUAAUAGAGAAUGGGUGAAUGGCCUCCAUUCCAUUCUGGAAUGGAAACCCGGAAUAAACGGACGCGCGCUUUUUCUAUUCUAAUCAUUCUCAUUCCGGAAUCACGAGUAAAAAAGCGUGCCCUUAGAUGAUCCUAGAGACAGGCCUCUCGAAAUUCGCAGUCGAUAAAACUUUUGCCCUUUUUACCCCAGUUUGAGCAAAAGAUAUAUUCAUUUUUACGCAAUUCGUAUGUUUUGCUUGUUUAUAUCAGUCUGACCGAAAUUUCGCGUAAAUUAUUGAGUUUCUUUUGCGCUAAUAGGAGUCUUAGCAAUUGUCGCUUUAAUUAUAAAAUUUUAGUUCACCUGCUCCAUGCCUUAAUGCAUACUAAUUUCAGAAUUAUAAAAAUAAUACGCCCAAUAUGGUAUUAUGUUCUGUAUAAUAUACAUCUGAGCCGAACCCAAACAAUUUGGAUUCAAAUAGUUAUGAGAAGUUUAUACGGAUCAAGUUAUUUCUCCUCCCUCGAUGGUGCCGUUUUAUUCGAAGAGCAUCAUGGUAUAAAGUGAAUUCGUGGAAAAAGAAAUUGCAAGGAAGCUAUUUGGGUUCUACUGUUACGCGUUAUUUUGUUUGAGUUUAUUGCUUCGAGGUGAAGGGACUCUGAUGCGCCGAGAGAUGUUUAGCUUCAAUAAUAGCCAAAAUGUGUUCCAGGUCUUAUCUUGAAGAGAACGUCUACCGCAACAUGCAAAUAUCCCAUUCAAUCCCCUCCCUGGAGAAAAAUGCAACAUGCAAGCAUCUCCAUCAAUCCCUUUACUGAGGAAAGAUACAACAUGCAAGCAUCCCCAUCAAUCUCCAUACUGAGAAAGAUGCAACAAUGCAAGCAUCCCCAUCAAUCACCUCCCUGGAGAAAGAUACAACAUGCAAGCAUCCCCAUCAAUCCCCUAACCGAGAAAGAUGCAACAUGCAAGGAUCCCCAUCAAUCCCCUUACUGAGAAAGAUACAUGCAAGCAUCCCCUUCAAUCCCCUUACUAAAUAUGAUGCAACAUGCAAGCAUCUUCAUAAUUCAUAUAUAGAUAAGGUAUAUAGGUAGGUUAAGUUUUUUUUUAUCGAGGGUAGCGCUAAGUUGUGCUAAUGUGGUUGUCAUGGGUUUGAUUUGUUCAACUUCCAUGGGGAAGAGAGAUUUUUGCAGCACUUAAGAAGAACCGUUUUUCGCAAUACGUAUAAUAACAGCGAAGGAGUUGCAGGUCUGCGUGUGCUUUUCUUCCAUGGAUCUCUGAGAGUUUUACAAGUUUGUUUUUCAUUUAGAGGGUGUAAGGCCGUUUAAUGUCCUGGAUACCAUAAUGCGUUUUAUACGCUUAACCCUUGUAUGACACUCUGAAAAGUUCAUUGAAAAGUCCCUUUGAUGGGUGUUCAAUCGCAACAAUGCAUCAGAGUGCUGCUUCGUUGUGCCUCCCCAGACUGUAGCUCCAAAAUCCAUGAUUGGCUGUAUCAUUGUGUUAUAGAAUGUCUCCCUGUCCAUCGGUGACAGAGUUACAGCACUUAGUAGUCCUACCCGCUUUGUCUAUUUUGAAGCGAGGUCCACAUGUCUCCCAUGAUUUUUUGCUGUUCAAGCCUUCAAGUGGAGGCCAAGCAGUUUUGAGGAGGAUACUGCUUCAAUAGAUUUUUUAUCUUUAUCUUAAUUUGAAGUGUCUUGUUCUUAACUGGGAUCACUCUGUGCUCGGGGGCGCUGAAUAUUAUCAUCGAUUUGGUUUAACAAAUAUCAAAAAAGAGGGCAGGCGCCCGCUCGGCCCACCCCAAGAUCCUCCCUGAAGCUUAUGUAAAUCCGUGGACGGGCAACGCCACUUAAACUUCGUUAAUGAUUUUGCUCGAUGCAAGGAGAGUCGUGUUGUCAGAGUGUAAACAAUGGUGCUGGUGCAUUAGCAAUGGAAGGUCAUUGAUGAAUAAAAUAAAUAACAAUGGA